rnacentral:rRNA from 1 species
AGUGGCGCACGGGUGCGUAACGCGUGGGAAUCUGCCCUUUGCUUCGGAAUAACACAGAGAAAUUUGUGCUAAUACCGGAUAAUGUCGAAAGACCAAAGACUUAUCGGCAAAGGAUGAGCCCGCGUAGGAUUAGGUAGUUGGUGGGGUAAUGGCCUACCAAGCCGACGAUCCUUAGCUGGUCUGAGAGGAUGAUCAGCCACACUGGGACUGAGACACGGCCCAGACUCCUACGGGAGGCAGCAGUGGGGAAUAUUGGACAAUGGGCGAAAGCCUGAUCCAGCAAUGCCGCGUGAGUGAUGAAGGCCUUAGGGUUGUAAAGCUCUUUCACCAGGGAUGAUAAUGACAGUACCUGGAGAAUAAGCUCCGGCUAACUCCGUGCCAGCAGCCGCGGUAAUACGGAGGGAGCUAGCGUUGUUCGGAAUCACUGGGCGUAAAGCGCACGUAGGCGGCUACUCAAGUCAGAGGUGAAAGCCCGGGGCUCAACCCCGGAACUGCCUUUGAAACUAGGUGGCUAGAAUCUUGGAGAGGCGAGUGGAAUUCCGAGUGUAGAGGUGAAAUUCGUAGAUAUUCGGAAGAACACCAGUGGCGAAGGCGACUCGCUGGACAAGUAUUGACGCUGAGGUGCGAAAGCGCGGGGAGCAAACAGGAUUAGAUACCCUGGUAGUCCACGCCGUAAACGAUGAUAACUAGCUGUCCGGGC